rnacentral:rRNA from 1 species
UACGUAGGUGGCAAGCGUUGUCCGGAAUUAUUGGGCGUAAAGCGCGCGCAGGCGGCCUCUUAAGUCUGAUGUGAAAGCCCCCGGCUCAACCGGGGAGGGCCAUUGGAAACUGGGAGGCUUGAGUAUAGGAGAGAAGAGUGGAAUUCCACGUGUAGCGGUGAAAUGGCGUACGAGAUGUAGAGGAACACCAGUGGCGAAGGCGACUCUUUGGCCUAU